CCCUUAGAUGUUCUGGGCUGCACACGUGCUACACUGGCAGGUUCAGCGAGCUUCAUGCCCUGAUCUGAAAGGAAUGGGAAAUCUUUUCAAAACCUGCCGUGCUUGGGAUAGAUGUUUGCAAUUAUUCAUCUUCAACGAGGAUUGCCUUGUAAGCGCAUGUCAUCAGCAUGCAUUGAAUACGACCCUGUAUUCUGUACACACCGCCCGUCGCUCCUACCGAUUGAGUGCUCAGGUGAAUAAUUCGGACUGCAGCAAUGUUUGGAUCCCGAACGUUGCAGCGGAAAGUUUAGUGAACCUUAUCACUUAGAGGAAGGAGAAGUCGUAACA
rnacentral:rRNA from 1 species